UCACGAAUGUGAAUUUCGAGCGCAUAAUUUUUGAACGGUCCGUUAGAACGGUUGGCUGCAGUUGACUCGACUCUGCGUUAACUUCGCGUUUUAACUUCAGGAAUGGCGCGGAAAGUACGGCGUGAUCAAAACUGACAACUUGGUUAGCCUAAGAGAAAGUGAAAUAACGACAUAGAAAAAAUCGCAUCGGAGGAAUCUAAUGAAGCUAAUGAUCUGGACAGCCUGAGAGGAGGAGGAGGAGAGAUCUAUGAGAGAUAUCGGACGCAGGCGAAACAAUCUUGCGAAUCAUCGUAGCUAUGUAACUGAUUAACUCCACUGUUGCGCAUCGAUUGGUUUUCCGGGUUCUUCUAAGUUAUUGCCGAUGGAUAAUACACCUAUAGACGACUGUUGAGCGACUACAACUUCUUUAUAGCCAGAAGCUGCCAAGACUCCCAUCUCUUCUGGGCCAAUAUAUGAGGUUCAAUUCGUUUUGUACCUUCCUCUUCUACAACUGCUGUUGCUUCUGUAAUCGGACACAAAUGGCGCUCCACUCUUCACCCAUACGCACGUUCCACAUUGAAGCGAAAUCGGAG